rnacentral:rRNA from 1 species
UACGUAGGGGGCAAGCGUUGUCCGGAAUUAUUGGGCGUAAAGAGCGUGUAGGCGGUCCGGUAAGUCAGCUGUGAAAGUCAAGGGCUCAACCCUUGAAAGCCGGUUGAUACUGUCGGGCUAGAGUCCGGAAGAGGCGAGUGGAAUUCCCGGUGUAGCGGUGAAAUGCGCAGAUAUCGGGAGGAACACCAAUGGCGAAGGCAGCUCGCUGGGACGUUACUGACGCUGAGGCGCGAAAGCGUGGGGAGCAAACAGGG